rnacentral:rRNA from 1 species
UACGGGGGGGGCAAGCGUUGUUCGGAAUUACUGGGCGUAAAGGGCUCGUAGGCGGCCAACUAAGUCAGACGUGAAAUCCCUCGGCUUAACCGGGGAACUGCAUCUGAUACUGGAUGGCUUGAGUUCGGGAGAGGGAUGCGGAAUUCCAGGUGUAGCGGUGAAAUGCGUAGAUAUUGGGAGGAACACCGGUGGCGAAGGCGGCUACCUGGACCGGUACUGACGCUGAGGCGCGAAAGCUAGGGUAGCAAACAGG